CAAGAGGCAAAUCCAUUGGUACUUGGAGGCUGCAGAAGCUCAACAAGGGGAAUCCAGCUGUCUCACGCAGCAGAAGCAUCCCCAUGAAGUGACCCAACAUGCUGUGUAACACCCACUGAUAACCUGGAAUUACCACAAGGCAGCUUUGCUAACAGAGCUGUGAAGUCUGGUUACUGCUCAAGUCCUGCUGCCUGCUCAUGUUUCUUAGCCAUUAGCCACACCAGGAGAUAUUUUAGGAUAAAAGAACUCAUUUGAGAUUACUGGAGAAAGAAAAACUUCUAUGCACCAGGAGUCUACAAAGCAAAUGAUGCAGAAUAGAGAUAGUCCAUUUCCAGUGAUUUUAUGAGAAACAUGUCUUUUUCCUCCUGUGUUCUGUAGCUCAUUCUCACUCUGUUGGACUGAUUCCCAAGGAGUGGCCUUUCUGCACUGUUGUUACAGCUCUGAAAGCAGUCGUCAUUCAAGCUGACAAUACUCCAGAUAUUAAAAAAGCCAGAAAACCUGAUCUGAUCAUUUUCCAUCUAGACGGAAACUGGGGACAGCCUGAGGCAUUUGAUAACACCCAGGCCCCUCUGGGUGCCUCUGGGUUCCCUGUAUGCCUUGUAUUACCUUUACAGGACAGUUUGCUGUGACAACAAGACUUUGGGACGCAGUGAGCUGCCCUCUUAGUCCUGCUACAAGCAGACUGAGUGGCAAUGAACGGGUCUUCAAGCAAGGAAAUGUUCAUUUGGUUUGCAGCUUAAAGAUUCUUAAUAAAAUCUGA